GUGGGGAAUCUUGCGCAAUGGGCGAAAGCCUGACGCAGCCAUGCCGCGUGAAUGAUGAAGGUCUUAGGAUUGUAAAAUUCUUUCACCGGGGACGAUAACGACGGUACCCGGAGAAGAAGCUCCGGCUAACUUCGUGCCAGCAGCCGCGGUAAUACGAAGGGGGCUAGCGUUGCUCGGAAUUACUGGGCGUAAAGGGCGCGUAGGCGGACAGCUUAGUCAGAGGUGAAAGCCCAGGGCUCAACCUUGGAAUUGCCUUUGAUACUGGCUGUCUUGAGUUUGGGAGAGGUGAGUGGAACUCCGAGUGUAGAGGUGAAAUUCGUAGAUAUUCGGAAGAACACCAGUGGCGAAGGCGACUCACUGGCCCAAUACUGACGCUGAGGCGCGAAAGCGUGGGGAGCAAACAGGAUUAGAUACCCGUGUAGUCC
rnacentral:rRNA from 1 species